rnacentral:rRNA from 1 species
AACGAACGCUGGCGGCGUGCCUCAGACAUGCAAGUCGAACGCGAAAGUCCCCUUCGGGGGGCGAAGUAGAGUGGCGCACGGGUGAGUAACACGUAGGUAAUCUACCUUUGGAUGGGGAAUAACAACCGGAAACGGUUGCUAAUACCGCAUAAUGCAGCGGCACCUAAUGGUGACAGUUGUUAAAGCGGGGGAUCGAAAGACCUCGCGUCUGAAGAGGAGCCUGCGGCGGAUUAGCUAGUUGGAAGGUAACGGCUUACCAAGGCGACGAUCCGUAGCCGGCCUGAGAGGGCGGUCGGCCACACUGACACUGACAUACGGGUCAGACUCCUACGGGAGGCAGCAGUCGGGAAUUUU